GACGAACGCUGGCGGCGUGCUUAACACAUGCAAGUCGAACGGAAAGGCCCUGCUUUUGUGGGGUGCUCGAGUGGCGAACGGGUGAGUAACACGUGAGUAACCUGCCCUUGACUGUGGGAUAACUUCAGGAAACUGGGGCUCAUACCGGAUAGGAGCUCUUGCUGCAUGGUGGGGGUUGGUAAGAUUCGGCGGUUGGGGAUGGACUCGCGGCUUAUCAGCUUGUUGGGUGGGUAGUGGCUGACCAAGGUUUUGACGGGUAGCCGGCCUGAGAGGGGGACCGGCCCCAUUGGGACUGAGAUACGGCCCAGACUCGUACGGGAGGCAGCAGUGGGGAGUAUUGCACAAUGGGGGGAAGCCAGAUGCAGCAACGCCGCGUGCGGGAUGACGGGCUUCGGGUUGUGAACCGAUUUCGCCUGUGCCGAAGCGUGAGUGACGGUAAUGGGUAAAGAAGCACCGGCUAACUACGUG
rnacentral:rRNA from 1 species